AACGAACGCUGGCGGCAGGCUUUACACAUGCAAGUCGAACGGACCCUUCGGGGUUAGCGGCGGACGGGUGAGUAACACGUGGGAACGUGCCUUUAGGUUCGGAAUAGCUCCUGGAAACGGGUGGUAAUGCCGAAUGUGCCCUUCGGGGGAAAGAUUUAUCGCCUUUAGAGCGGCCCGCGUCUGAUUAGCUAGUUGGUGAGGUAAUGGCUCACCAAGGCGACGAUCAGUAGCUGGUCUGAGAGGAUGACCAGCCACAUUGGGACUGAGACACGGCCCAAACUCCUACGGGAGGCAGCAGUGGGGAAUCUUGCGCAAUGGGCGAAAGCCUGACGCAGCCAUGCCGCGUGGAUGAUGAAGGUCUUAGGAUUGUAAAAUCCUUUCACCGGUGAAGAUAAUGACUGUAGCCGGAGAAGAAGCCCCGGCUAACUUCGUGCCAGCAGCCGCAGUAAUAC
rnacentral:rRNA from 1 species